UACGUAGGGGGCAAGCGUUGUCCGGAAUCAUUGGGCGUAAAGCGCGUGUAGGCGGUCCGGUAAGUCCGGUGUGAAAUUCGGGGGCUCAACCCUCAGAUGCCGGUGGAUACUGUCGGGCUUGAGUACGGAAGAGGCGAGUGGAAUUCCUGGUGUAGCGGUGAAAUGCGCAGAUAUCAGGAGGAACACCAAUUGCGAAGGCAGCUCGCUGGGACGUUACUGACGCUGAGACGCGAAAGCGUGGGGAGCAAACAGG
rnacentral:rRNA from 1 species